GACGAACGCUGGCGGCGUGCCUAAUACAUGCAAGUUGAGCGAUGAAGGUUGGUGCUUGCACCCAUUUGAAGAGCAGCGAACGGGUGAGUAACGCGUGGGGAAUCUGCCUUUGAGCGGGGGACAACAUUUGGAAACGAAUGCUAAUACCGCAUAAUAACUUUAAACAUAAGUUUUAAGUUUGAAAGAUGCAAUUGCAUCACUCAAAGAUGAUCCCGCGUUGUAUUAGCUAGUUGGUGAGGUAAAGGCUCACCAAGGCGAUGAUACAUAGCCGACCUGAGAGGGUGAACGGCCACAUUGGGACUGAGACACGGCCCAAACUCCUGCGGGAGGCAGCAGUAGGGAAUCUUCGGCAAUGGACGAAAGUCUGACCGAGCAACGCCGCGUGAGUGAAGAAGGUCUUCGGAUCGUAAAACUCUGUUGGUAGGGAAGAACGUUGGUGAGAGUGGAAAGCUCAUCAAGUGACGGUAACUACCCAGAAAGGGACGGCUAACUACGUG
rnacentral:rRNA from 1 species